CUACUAUAUGGUCGUACACAUC
rnacentral:miRNA from 1 species